AUGAAAUGUGUAGCUGUUGCUAGCAAGCACCCAGUAUACGAGCUUGGGGCUGCUGACCUUGUUGUGCGGCGCCUUGAUGAGCUCUCGAUAGUAGAUUUAAAGAACCUUGCAGAUAUUGAAUCAGCUGAGUUCGGGUCUGGGGAGCCAGAAUUGGAGAUGGAGGAAGAACUAGAAGCUGAUCGAUACCCGUAUUCUUCUGUAGGCGUCGAUGAUGAUUUCUGGUGACACUUUCUCAAUGUACAGUAUGUUGUUGUUCUCGAUCUAAUUCCAGUGAUGAAAAUGCCACUUCUGUCGUGUAUAAAGAUAGGAAACAGAAG
rnacentral:lncRNA from 1 species